AAUGAACGCUGGCGGCGUGCCUAAUACAUGCAAGUCGAGCGAACGGACGAGAAGCUUGCUUUUCUGAUGUUAGCGGCGGACGGGUGAGUAACACGUGGAUCACCUACCUAUAAGACUGGGAUAACUUCGGGAAACCGGAGCUAAUAACGGAUAAUAUUUUGAACCGCAUGGUUCAAAAGUGAAAGACGGUCUUGCUGUCACUUAUAGAUGGAUCCGCGCUGCAUUAGCUAGUUGGUAAGGUAACGGCUUACCAAGGCAACGAUGCAUAGCCGACCUGAGAGGGUGAUCGGCCACACUGGAACUGAGACACGGUCCAGACUCCUACGGGAGGCAGCAGUAGGGAAUCUUCCGCAAUGGGCGAAAGCCUGACGGAGCAACGCCGCGUGAGUGAUGAAGGUCUUCGGAUCGUAAAACUCUGUUAUUAGGGAAGAACAUAUGUGUAAGUAACUGUGCACAUCUUGACGGUACCUAAUCAGAAAGCCACGGCUAACUACGUG
rnacentral:rRNA from 1 species